rnacentral:rRNA from 1 species
AGUCGAACGGUAGAGCAGCAAUGCUUGAGAGUGGCGAACGGGUGAGUAAUAUAUCGGAACGUGCCCAGUCGUGGGGGAUAACGUAGAGAAAUUUACGCUAAUACCGCAUACGAUCUAAGGAUGAAAGCGGGGGACUCGCAAGAGCCUCGCGCGAUUGGAGCGGCUGAUAUCAGAUUAGGUUGUUGGUGAGGUAAAAGCUCACCAAGCCGACGAUCUGUAGCUGGUUUGAGAGAACGACCAGCCACACUGGGACUGAGACACGGCCCAGACUCCUACGGGAGGCAGCAGUGGGGAAUUUUGGACAAUGGGCGAAAGCCUGAUCCAGCAAUGCCGCGUGUGGGAAGAAGGCCUUCGGGUUGUAAACCACUUUUGUACGGAACGAAACGGCCUGCCCUAAUACGGUGGGCUAAUGACGGUACCGUAAGAAUAAGCACCGGCUAACUACGUGCCAGCAGCCGCGGUAAUACGUAGGGUGCGAGCGUUAAUCGGAAUUACUGGGCGUAAAGCGUGCGCAGGCGGUUAUAUAAGACAGUUGUGAAAUCCCCGGGCUCAACCUGGGAAUUGCAUCUGUGACUGUAUAGCUAGAGUACGGUAGAGGGGGAUGGAAUUCCGCGUGUAGCAGUGAAAUGCGUAGAUAUGCGGAGGAACACCGAUGGCGAA